GAUGAACGCUAGCGGCAGGCUUAACACAUGCAAGUCGAGGGGUAACAUUGGAGCUUGCUUCAGAUGACGACCGGCGAACGGGUGCGUAACGCGUAUAGAAUCUGCCUUGUACAGGAGGAUAACCUUUAGAAAUGAAGACUAAUACUCCAUAAUGCUGAGAGGUGGCAUCACUUUUUAGUUAAAUAUUUAUAGGUACAAGAUGACUAUGCGUCCUAUUAGCUAGAUGGUAAGGUAACGGCUUACCAUGGCAACGAUAGGUAGGGGGUCUGAGAGGAUUAUCCCCCACACUGGUACUGAGACACGGACCAGACUCCUACGGGAGGCAGCAGUGAGGAAUAUUGGACAAUGGAGGCAACUCUGAUCCAGCCAUGCCGCGUGCAGGAAGACUGCCCUAUGGGUUGUAAACUGCUUUUAUACAGGAAGAAACCGUGAUACGUGUAUCACCUUGACGGUACUGUAAGAAUAAGGACCGGCUAACUCCG
rnacentral:rRNA from 1 species